rnacentral:rRNA from 1 species
CACGUAGGGGGCGAGCGUUGUCCGGAUUUAUUGGGCGUAAAGGGCUCGUAGGCGGCUCAGUAAGUCGGGUGUGAAACCUCCAGGCUCAACCUGGAGACGCCACUCGAUACUGCUGUGGCUAGAGUCCGGUAGGGGAGCAUGGAAUUCCUGGUGUAGCGGUGAAAUGCGCAGAUAUCCGGAGGAACACCAGUGGCGAAGGCGGCUGCCUGGGCCUGGCCUGACGCUGAGGUGCGAAAGCGUGGGGAGCAAACAGGGGAUUAAGAA